AAUUCAUUCUCCAACAAGACAAAAUAAUCAAAUCACUAAAUAAAUGAGCAAUCAAUCAACCAUACAAGGAAAACGAGUGUUCUUCUCUUUUCUUCUCCUCUCUCUUUUGUUCUCUCACUUCCUUCUUCUUUCUUCUCUUCU
rnacentral:ribozyme from 11 species